GAUGAACGCUGGCGGCGUGCCUAAUACAUGCAAGUCGAACGAAACUUCUUUAUCACCGAGUGCCUGCACUCACCGAUAAAGAGUUGAGUGGCGAACGGGUGAGUAACACGUGGGCAACCUGCCCAAAAGAGGGGGAUAACACUUGGAAACAGGUGCUAAUACCGCAUAACCAUAGUUACCGCAUGGUAACUAUGUAAAAGGUGGCUAUACUACCGCUUUUGGAUGGGCCCGCGGCGCAUUAGCUAGUUGGUAGGGUAAAGGCUUACCAAGGCAAUGAUGCGUAGCCGAAUUGAGAGGUUGAUCGGCCACAUUGGGACUGAGACACGGCCCAAACUCCUACGGGAGGCAGCAGUAGGGAAUCUUCCACAAUGGGCGAAAGCCUGAUGGAGCAACGCCGCGUGGGUGAAGAAGGUCUUCGGAUCGUAAAACCCUGUUGUUAGAGAAGAAAGUGCGUGAGAGUAACUGUUCACGUUUCGACGGUAUCUAACCAGAAAGCCACUGCUAACUACGUG
rnacentral:rRNA from 1 species